CACGUAGGGCGCAAGCGUUGUCCGGAAUUAUUGGGCGUAAAGAGCUCGUAGGUGGUUUGCUGCGUCCGCUGUGAAAACCCAAGGCUUAACCUUGGGCUUGCAGUGGAUACGGGCAGACUAGAGGUAGGUAGGGGAGAAUGGAAUUCCCGGUGUAGCGGUGAAAUGCGCAGAUAUCGGGAGGAACACCGGUGGCGAAGGCGGUUCUCUGGGCCUUACCUGACACUGAGGAGCGAAAGCGUGGGUAGCAAACAGG
rnacentral:rRNA from 1 species